GAGUACGAAAGGUGAAAUUUGCAAAUUUCAGCUACGGUUAGUUCCCGGAAAUUAUGUGGCGUAGCCUUUGUUGAUGGACUUUGAGUUGCGCAGCAAGAAAGGAGCUUCUGCCACCAGAUGACAUCUAGAGGCUCUGAGAUUGCUUCCUCACUGUGCUACACGAACCUCAUUCCCAGCGCGAGCGUCCACUGCGGUGACGAAGCCUUGCUCUCCUGUGAGACACCUUAGGUACUACACAGAGGGCACCAAUGACUGCCAGACUCCUGUCGAGUGAUCCUCAGUUAUUUAAGCAGAAAUAUAUGUUGUGACUCGGCGAUUAUUCAAAGUGCCGCCGCGCAAUUACGCACGUCCUCUACGUGCGGCGCUGUCUGCCAGCCAGGCAGCAGCUGCGCCACCUAAGCGGCCAGCCGAGCGGCGGCCGCUAGACUGAGACUCAGUGUUCAAUUGAAUGCCGAUUUGUACACAGGUCCACCUACUCAGUGACUUAUAUGUGUUGUUGUGUUGUCCGAAAUAUAUGUGUUAAAUUUGAAGAUUUAACAAUAUACAAUAAUUUCAUUCUUAAUAUGACUAUGUCCGCAUUCAAAUUUACUGUUGCAUAUACAUCCCAAAAGUCACUAGCAAAACCUGAUUUAAACAGUCUGUGUUUUAAGAUUGAUCUUCGUAUUCAAUGCUUCUUUUGUUUCUACAGUUUCAUCCCCAGGAAUCUGAUAUAUUCUUGUUGGUGUAACUGGAUUUACUUUACAAAGAAUAUCAUUUAUAGAUAACCACAGAAUAUCUAGUUCUACAGGAUAUGUAUAAGACAGUGAUGGACCAGCUGGGUGAAGGAAACUAACUUUAUCUUUGAGAUCUUUGGCUUUUGUUAAAAUAUAAGCUUAACACCAUUUCUUGUAAUAGAUAACAGUAACAUACCCAUGAAUGUCUUUCAAAGACAGUCUUUCUGGAAAUUUUGUAGCUUUUUAACAGUAGGUGCUGAUGUGUCUGAAAUAGUCUUUACCAACGUUUUUUAUGUACUUGAUGCAGCUGCUAUAAAAGCAGGUAAUUUCUGUUUUCCUUUUAUGGAAACAGAUUGACUAAAGUGCUUUUCCAGAUAUCUCUCAGUUUCAGUGUACUCUUGUUGUGUCGAAAAUAGAACAUGUACAGGUGUAAUAUUAUUAAGUGCCCAAUCAAAACAUUGUUGCGGAGAAAGAAUUUGGCUGCCAUACAGCCUCUGCAGACUUGCUUUUGUUGCUGAUCUCUUAACAGUGCCACCAACACCAUCAUAAGGUCCUUUUCCGUGAGCAGAGGCAAAAAAUGC